rnacentral:rRNA from 1 species
CAGCCAUCUUAUUAACAAAACGUAAUAGUUGACGAAUCUAAGAUUAUAAUGUAUUAAAAAUGCUGGUUAAUAAGUUUCUAACCAAAACAAAUUUAAAAGAUAAGGUAGUAGAAUAUUCUGAAGAUUCAGAAGAGCUAAUGUAAGAAUGAGUAACUCCCAUAUUGUUCUAAAAUUAUAUUAAGAUAUGAAGUUAAGUUAUAAAGAUAUAUAAUGAAUAAUGAAAAUCUGAAUAGCAGUAUGAAAUAAAAGAAUAUAAAUAAUAAAUACAAUAGGCCGAAAGAUCAAGGUUUUCACACCAAUGAUUAACAAGUGUG